rnacentral:rRNA from 1 species
AUUGAACGCUGGCGGCAGGCCUAACACAUGCAAGUCGAGCGAGCGGCGGACGGGUGAGUAAUGUAUAGGGACUGCCCGAUAGAGGGGGAUAACUACUGGAAACGGUAGCUAAUACCGCAUACUUUCGGAUAACCCAUAUGGGAUUAGCUAGUAGGUGAGGUAAUGGAUCACCUACACGACGAUCCCUAGCUGGUCUGAGAGGAUGAGCAGGCACACUGGGAUUGAGAUACGGCCCAGACGCCAACGUACGCAAGGUAGGGGAAAAGAGCACAAGGGGAGCAAGCCUGAUGCAGCCAUGCCGCGUAUAUUGAAAAGGCAAUAGGGUUGUAAAGUAAUUUCAGUCGGGAGUCGUUACUGUCAGAAGAAGCACCGGCUAACUCCGUGCCAGCAGCCGCGGUAAUAC